rnacentral:rRNA from 1 species
AAAAUAAAUUUAUUUUGAUUAUCAAUAUAUAAUAAAUAAAGUAAUUUUUUAAAGUGGGUAAGGUUAAAGUAGAAAUUUUGAAUAAAUUUUUUUAUUUAUAGAGUUAGUAAUGAAAAUGAAAUUUUAUAAAGUAUAAAAAGUAAAUUUUAUUAAUUGUACCUUUUGUAUCAGGGUUGAUUAAAUAAAAUAUUUAAAUUUAAAUAUAUCUCGAAUUUAAAAUAUUUAAUUAAAAAUAUUAGUUAAUGUUGAAUUAUUAUUAAUAAUUUUUAAUUAGUAGUGAAAUGUUAAACGAUUUUAAAUAUAUCUAGUUUUUUUAGAAUUAAAUUUAAUUUAGCUUUUUAAUUUAUAUGAUAUUUUUAUUUAUUAAUUAUAAAAUUAAAAAGAAAAUAUUUUUGGGAUAAACUAAAAAUAUUGAAAUAAUAAAAAUUAGAUUUUAAUUUAUUAAUAUUCAUAAAAUUUGAAUUUUUUGAAAAAAAUGUUAUAAUUUAUAAAUUAAAUAAUUUUAAUUUAAUUUUUUAUUUUUUAUAUAUAUAUAAAAAAAAAUUAUUUAAUAAUAAAAUAAUUGGUAUAAUGAUUAAAUUAGUAAAUUUAUUUUAAAUGAUGUAAAAAUAAUUAAAUAUUAAAAAUUUAUUUUAAGGAAUUCGACAAAUAUUUGUAUUAUUAUUUAUAUAAUAAAUUUUAUAUAAUAUAUAUUCACCUGUUUAUCAAAAACAUGGCUUAUUGAUUUUAAUAAUAGGUCUAUUCUGCCCAUUGAUUUAAAAAUUAAAAGGCUGCAGUAUACUGACUGUACAAAGGUAGCAUAAUCAAUUGUUUUUUAAUUGAAAACUGGAAUGAAAGAGUGGAUGAAAUAUAAUUUGUCUCAAAAUAAAAAUAUUGAAUUUAAAUUAAGAGUAAAAAUGCUUUUAUUUAUUUAUUAGACGAGAAGACCCUAUAGAAUUUAAUAAAAUUUAUUUAUUAAAAAUUUUUAUUUUUAUUUAUUUAAUAAAUAUUUAUAUUUUGUUGGGAGGAUAAUUAAAUUUAUUUAACUUUAAUGAUUAAUUAACAUAGAUUAAUGAAUAAAUGAUUAUUAUUAUAAUUAAUAGAAUAAAUUACCUUAGGGAUAACAGCGUAAUAAUUUUGGAGAGUUCAUAUUGAUAAAAUUGUUUGCGACCUCGAUGUUGAAUUAUGAUAAAAAUUAAAUGGAGAGAUUUAAAAUUUUAGUCUGUUCGACUAUUAAAAUCAUACAUGAUUUGAGUUCAGAUCGGUGAAAGCCAGAUCGGUUUCUAUCUAUAAUUGAGAUUAUAUUUUAUUGUACGAAAGGACUUAAAAUAUUAAAUAUUUUUAUUAAAAAAAUUAAUUAAAUAUUAAUUUUUAGAAUGAAUAAAAU